rnacentral:lncRNA from 1 species
GUUGGGUAUAGGGAACUUUCGGGAUAGCAUUUGAAAUGUACAUAAAGAAAAUAUCUAAUAAAAAUAAAUAAACAAAUAAAUAAAAAAGAAAUAGACAUGUACGAAUGGAGUAAUCAACUGCAAGAAUAUUACAGUGUUUCAGAAGAUGUUUAGAGAUAGGGUUUUUUUUUUCACUUAUUAAAAUUUUUGUUUAAUCCUAUUUUUUAUACUCCAGAGUUUAUUCCCCUCCAAGUCUACCCUCAAACUGUUUCAGAUCCCACACCUCUUCCCUGACCCCCUGUUUUCUCUAGGAUGUCCCCACCCUCUCACCCCCAACCCCACCAGACCUCUAAACUCCCUUAAGAAAGAAAUAUAACUAAUGCAAAGAUAUUUCAGAUAUGUACAUGAAUUAAGUGACAAAAAUAAUUUAUAGGUCACUGAUGAUCAGCCAUAGGAUACAGCAAAGGUAAGCUAUUUAUUAUUAUUAUUAUUAUUAUUAUUAUUAUUAUUAUUGGCAUGAGAUCCUGAAUAUGUACCACUGUCAGGCAUGGGAUAAUAAGAGAAGACCAAAGCUGGGAAUGGAAUUAUACAUUAAUGGUUAGGAUGAAAUGUUUGAGAACCCAUAAAAUAGUGGAGCAAAAAUAAUCUAUUUUAAUUUAUUGAGUUACUGUUGAAAUAUCUUUAUUAUAUCUCCCAAGGUGGCUUGAACCUUACUAUAUAGACGCGAAUAGAGUCUAGCUCAUAGCUGGGUGCUACCUUAGCCUCCUAAGUUCUGAGAUUAGAGAUAUGAGAGCCAUAUAAUAUGGCUGUUUCAAUUAUAGUCAUUUGUUUAAUUUUCAUAGAGACUGCAAUAUUUCAUUCUUGUCACCAAGGAUUUUUUAAAUAUAAGGAACACAGGGAAAUACUGACUGAACCAGAGUGUACUCAGCAAACAUUAGAUGUAUCUGUCUGAUCUGUUUAUUUUUCUAAAGAUUUGCAUCCAGUAAUAAACAUCUAACCCAUAUAUGUUCACUGUGGUUUUGUUGACAUCAGCUACCCCUAAAUAUGCUCAGUGCUUGAUUCUGUUGAUGUGAAAUUCCAUUAUAAUGUUUCUCAGUCAGGGUGAACAUUUAAAAAGGCUAGUCAAUUAAAACUAAUAGAGCUGACAACAACUGAACAAAAAUGUAUUAAGGGCACAAGCUGCUAUAAUAAUUUUAAAAGAAUAUUGUAUGAAAGCUAUUUAGAAUUUCCUUGAAGAACAUUCAAUAUAUCUUAGCCUUUGUUCUAGUUUCAGGUCUGCUUCUCUGUUUAAAUAUCCUGACCAAAAAUCCACUUAUGGGAGAAGGGGUUGAUUUGUUCUGAGCGAAAUGUCAACACAAGAAUAUGGAUCCCAUCCACAGUCACAUCACAUCCACCACCGUGAUAGUUUUGCCAACGUGUGAAAAACUAGAGUCACCUGAGAAGGGAAAUAAUCAACUGACAAAUUGUGUCAUUAAAUUCCUCUGGGCCAUGGCUAUGGGACAUUUUCUCAAUUUAAGUUUAAUGUGUGACAGUCUAGCUCACUGCAAUUGGGGCCACUCCAGGGUAUAUGGUCCUGGGUUACAUAAGAAGCAAGCUGCACAGCUCUUGGAAAGCUAAACUAGUAAGCAGAUUUCGGCCCUGUAUUAAUUCAGUGAUGAACUAAUUCCUGGAAAUGUAAAAAACAAAACAAUAACAACAACAACAACAAAAAC